rnacentral:tRNA from 1 species
AUUUAAGUAGCCUAUAAAGGGUGUAGUAUUGAAGAUACUAAGGAAACAAAUUGUUCUUAAAUA